GCAGCAUCUUAAACGGAUUGUGGCCUUUGAGCAGUAGGCCAGAAUUUGGUAGCUGGUGCUGAUAUCAACUCUCUCUUGCAACACUCCCGCUGGCAUCUUCUGGGCUUUCUGGGAAUUUCUGGGAGAGAAACAAGC
rnacentral:snoRNA from 1 species